CAGAGUCAGUGCACUCACAGGGCCUGGGACCAAAUUCCCAAAGGUGGAGUUCAACAGUGAUCUUUUCUAAAUGUAUGACAAGGGCCCCGGGAGCCAUUUGUUGAAUUUAUCAAUCAUUUAACUUAGGUCAUAGUGAAAUGUGCCCAUUCCACCCUUAAGAAUAUGCUUAAAAUCAAAAAAGGGUGAAUAUGAGUAGGGACCUUACAACACUACUAGCACGAGCCUUAUUUACUCUUAAUUUCUUAAAUUUAGAUGAUACAUUUCAAUGAGCCAUAGAUAAGCACUUUGCAAAAACCUCUCAAAAUAGAAAGCCUUCAGUUUUAUGGAAAGGUGUAAAUAGUAAUGUACGGUGUGGUCCAAAUGAUUUGCUAACGUGGGGAAGGGGAUAUGCUUGUGUUCACAGCCCCUUAGGUCCUCUUUGGAUUCCAGCAUGAUGCAUCAAACCUUACCACGGCAUGACUAGGGCCCAACCCGGUACCAGAAAUAAAGGAAAUGACGAUGCAGAACCCACAACCCUGGAUGAUGUGGCUUCCUUGGAUGACACAGGCCCCAGACAUUACCUGGGGAAUGCUGAAGAACACAACUCAGGAGGCUGAACAAAUCUGCUUCAGACACAGAUACCAUUCAAUCCAUAUAAUUUGUUCUUUGCUAUGCUUUUUAUUCCACAUUGCAACUCUUAUGGAAUACUGAUUCUUCUUAUUCUCUCUUUUUGCCUGCAACCCACACCUGCUAUACACUAUUGGGCCCAUCUUCUAGAUCUGCCUUUCUUACCGCCUUUUACUUGGGAAGAUACCCCCUUCUCAGCCUCUGACAAUGUGACCAAUUGGCUGGGAGGUAUUGACAUACCCCCGGUGGGGGUCCCUCAGUAAUGGCACACAUUGGACUCAGGUGCCAAGUAACAUUACAUAUCAAUCCUUGAUUGGAAAAGAAUAAUAUUGAUUAUACUCAUGUUUGUCUUAUGUUAUUUACUGGUUCUAGGGUGCAAAGCUGGAACACAAGCUGUAACCAUUGCACCAGUCAAACCUGUCGCUGCUCACAUCUGUAUGCUUCAAUCAACAAAACCUGAUGCAAAAAACAGAAAAAGGGGAGAUGUGGGAGAUUGGUCAGAGUGGUGGAAAAAGUACAGGGAAAGAACGCAAAUUUUCUGAAAUGUUGGAAGGUCCUGCAGAGCCCCAGGGGAAAAUAGCUGAAGGCAGCUGUUCUAUAACCUUGAGGCAGAGAGCAAGCAUUUGGGUUGCGACAUAUACCUUAGCCAAGCUCACAGUUGCGAUGUUGACACUAAUACCAUGAAUCAGCCAAAAGGAGAGAUACUGGCACUUGUAACUAAACUUGGAGAAAUGGGUAUAUUCCUGGGUCUUCUCUAGAUAAUAACAUCAUAGAGGAUUACUAUUCUUUCACAUUUUGUAUAAAGUGUUUUGAUGGUACAGAGCAUGUCAUGCCCACUGGAGAGAUCCUGAAUUUCACAGUGCCCAGCCUAUAGAUUGGAUUGUGACACAUCGCUGGACCCAACACCUAGGUGGUAUGACUGUACAUAUGCCUUGACACUGCCCACAGAGGGCUUUGUGACAUGUGACUGAGACCCACACCUUGGUUAUGUGACUCUCCUGAUUGUGCCCUGCAAUUAUAGAUUAUUGUGACAUAUUGCUAUGUCCAACAUCCAGGUGAUGUAACUCUCCUUCCUGGGUCCUGCCUACAGGAAGCAUUAUGACCCACCUCUGUACCAAUCACUGAGGUUCUGCUCACAAUGUAGAUCAUGACAUACUGCUGGACUGAACAAGGGACGAAAACUCAUCUUCAGUGCUGUCUACAACAAAAGAGAAACAUCAUGUUACUAAAACCUCAGGAACAGAGAUUGCAGAUUGGGCUAAGAUUGUACACUUUCUUAAGGAUGAUCUGCAUGGAAAAGCAGCAAACAAUUUCCGAAAGAUACAAGAAGUAUUGCCUCUAAUGGGUACUUAUACUGUAGUUCAACUCGAUUUGUUCUGUAAGUGGUAGGGAAAAUGGGAUAAAAUACUUCAUGUUCAAGCAUUUUUGCUGCUCAGUCAGAAUGAAACCCUGCAGCAGGCAUGGACAUGUUUCCUAAGAGAAGUAGAAGAAAAAAAAUUUAAACAGACAGGCUGAUCCUUUAUUGCAAGCCCCCCCGCCACUUGGUUCAGUGGGCAUUUUUGGGUGAAACAGAACCUCUUUCUGUCAGCUCUAAAGGUUCAGCUGUGUCCAUCCUUUCUACCCCUAGUCCACCUGAAAGUUCUAUUGAGGACCCUUCAUCCUUCUUCCUUACCCAUCUAGUCCCACUCUAUACCCACCACUCCUUGAAGAACUGAGCUCAGUGAGUACUACUCAUA
rnacentral:lncRNA from 1 species